AACGAACGCUGGCGGCAUGCCUAACACAUGCAAGUCGAACGAGACCUUCGGGUCUAGUGGCGCACGGGUGCGUAACGCGUGGGAACCUGCCUUUAGGUUCGGAAUAACUCAGAGUCAUUUGAGCUAAUACCGGAUGAUUUCUUCGGACCAAAGAUUUAUCGCCUUUAGAUGGGCCCGCGUUGGAUUAGCUUGUUGGUGGGGUAAAGGCCUACCAAGGCGACGCUCCAUAGCUGGUCUGAGAGGAUGGUCAGCCACACUGGGACUAGGACACGGCCCAGACUACUACGGGAGGCAGCAGAGGGGAAUAUUGGAAAAUGGGCGAAAGCAUGAUGCAGCAAGGCCGCGUGAGUGAUGAAGGCGUUAGGGAAGUAAAGCUCUUUUACCCGAGAUGAUAAUGACAGUAUCGGGAGAAUAAGCACCGGCUAACUCCGUG
rnacentral:rRNA from 1 species